ACACCAUGGCUUGCCUUGAGUUGGAAGUGGUUUGCAUUUACACCUGUAAAUGUAUUCAUCCUUUUAAUUUAUGUAAGGUUUUUUUUUUAUUAUACACC